AGAAUCAACGCUGGCGGCGUGCCUAACACAUGCAAGUCGCACGAGAAAGGGACUUCGGUCCUGAGUAAAGUGGCGCACGGGUGAGUAACACGUGACUAAUCUACCCUCGAGUGGGGAAUAACCUAGGGAAACCUGGGCUAAUACCGCAUAACACUUACGAGUCAAAGCAGCAAUGCGCUUGGGGAGGAGGUCGCGGCAGAUUAGUUAGUUGGCGGGGUAAUGGCCCACCAAGACGAUGAUCUGUAUCCGGCCUGAGAGGGCGCACGGACACACUGGAACUGAAACACGGUCCAGACUCCUACGGGAGGCAGCAGUGGGGAAUUUUGCGCAAUGGGGGAAACCCUGACGCAGCAACGCCGCGUGGAGGAUGAAGUCUCGUUGGACGUAAACUCCUUUCGACAGGGACGAUAAUGACGGUACCUGUAGAAGAAGCCCGGCUAACUUCGUGCCAGCAGCCGC
rnacentral:rRNA from 1 species